UUUCUUUCUACUGUAGGAUACCAUGGUAUGGUGGGAGUAAUAGAUUUCAAAGAGAAAAGGAAACAUGAUCGCCUGCUCUAUCUUCCUGCAUGACACAGGCCAGAGUAUUUGAAAGCUAAUGAUGUCCUGUAUGGAGAAAAAAAACAGGGGUACCAGUCCAGACCCUGGGAUUGCUCAGUUGAUGCACUAGGGCACUCGCAUGCCCCAGAGAGCAGUACGUCGUGCAAGAGAGUAUAGUUACUAAAAGCGUGAAUGGAGAAAUUUCUGGUCCUAUUUAAGGCCAUUGCCUCCACUUGUACAGGGCA
rnacentral:lncRNA from 1 species